rnacentral:rRNA from 1 species
CCUACGGGGGGCGGCAGUGGGGAAUAUUGGACAAUGGGCGAAAGCCUGAUCCAGCCAUGCCGCGUGUGUGAAGAAGGCCUUCGGGUUGUAAAGCACUUUCAGUGGGGAAGAAAGCCUUGGGGCUAAUACCCUCGAGGAAGGACAUCACCCACAGAAGAAGCACCGGCUAACUCCGUGCCAGCAGCCGCGGUAAUACGGAGGGUGCGAGCGUUAAUCGGAAUUACUGGGCGUAAAGCGCGCGUAGGCGGUCUGAUAAGCCGGUUGUGAAAGCCCCGGGCUCAACCUGGGAACGGCAUCCGGAACUGUCAGGCUAGAGUGCAGGAGAGGAAGGUAGAAUUCCCGGUGUAGCGGUGAAAUGCGUAGAGAUCGGGAGGAAUACCAGUGGCGAAGGCGGCCUUCUGGACUGACACUGACGCUGAGGUGCGAAAGCGUGGGUAGCAAACAGGAUUAGAUACCCGGGUAGUC